UUAAGUGCUCUGUUAAUGGGGUAGGAUCCGAGACUCCUUUCGGGGUUACACAGGCUCUCCUACCCAACUCCUAUUCCGUCACGUCCUCGUCGUAAAGAGUGGUUACUUGCCCCACCACAUAUCCAAGCUCGGAAUAAGGAUGGGGAUCUGGUCAGUUACCAGCCAG
rnacentral:ribozyme from 1 species